AGGGGCACCCUGGAGACUGAAGUGCUGUAUUUAUUCACAGAAGAGAUAUGGCAUAGGCAGUGGCAAUGCAAGGUUCCUCACUCUGCCUCCACUAAUGUGCCUUAACCCUGACCUUGGAGGGACCAUUUUUAAGGCAGAAGGUAGGUUAGUCUUAAGAGCCUGUUCCAUGUUUGGUCUCU
ensembl:misc_RNA